GCCUAACACAUGCAAGUCGAACGCAGUAGCAAUACUGAGUGGCAAACGGGUGAGUAUAAUGUGGGAAUCUGCCUUUUGGUUUGGAAUAACACGGGGAAACUUGUGCUAAUACCGAAUAAGCCUUUACAGGGAAAGUUUUAACGCCGAAAGAUGAGCCCGCACUUGAUUAGCUAGUUGGUAAGGUAAAAGCUUACCAAGGCAAUGAUCAAUAGCUGUUCUUAGAGGAAGACCAGCCACAUUGGGACUGAGACACGGCCCAGACUCCUACGGGAGGCAGCAGUGGGGAAUCUUGCACAAUGGGGGAAACCCUGAUGCAGCGAUGCCGCGUGAGUGAAGAAGGCCUUUGGGUUGUAAAACUCUUUCGUCGGGGAAGAAAAUGACUGUACCCGAAUAAGAAGGUCCGGCUAACUUCGUGCCAGCAGCCGCGGUAAUACGAAGGGACCUAGCGUAGUUCGGAAUUACUGGGCUUAAAGAGCUCGUAGGUGGUUAAAAAAGUUGAUGGUGAAAUCCCAAGGCUUAACCUUGGAACUGCCAUCAAAACUUUUUAGCUAGAGUGUGAUAGAGGUAAGUGGAAUUUCUAGUGUAGAGGUGAAAUUCGUAGAUAUUAGAAAGAACACCAAAUGCGAAGGCAACUUACUGGGUCACUACUGACACUGAGGAGCGAAAGCAUGGGUAGCGAAGAGGAUUAGAUACCCUCGUAGUCCAUGCCGUAAACGAUGUGUGCUAGACGUUGGAAAUAUAUUUUUCAGUGUCGCAGCGAAAGCAUUAAGCACACCGCCUGGGGAGUACGAC
rnacentral:rRNA from 1 species